AAAGAAUUAGUUAAAAAAUAACAUAAAUAUGUCAAAUUUAAAUAAUUAUUAUAAAAUAAUAUUCUUUU
rnacentral:tRNA from 1 species